rnacentral:RNase_P_RNA from 1 species
GUGUUCGAGGCAACGCGGCGAUUCUUUGAAAUCGUUGAGGAAAGUCCGGGCAGGCACAGGCUGAAAUGCUUGUAGUGAUUGUGUGUGAGCUAAUAACUCACAGGGGAGUACAGCAGUACUUUCACGGCGGUGAAAUUGGCUCUCGUAGUCGAGAAUAACCCGAAGGUGCCACAGAAACGAUAUGGUCCGGCGACGGGCCAGUGCAAACGGUAAACCCCACAAGCCUGAAACCCAAAUUAUGGUAGGGGAACUCUUUCGAAGGAACUGAACUUAGAAAGAGCAGUAUUCCAAUACUGAGACAGAUGUUGCUUUAGAAACAGAACCCGGCUUAUGAG